CUCUGCCUCUGCCUCACACUCACACUCACACGGCGCUCCUCUCUCUCUCUCUCUCGCUCGCCAUCGCCACUGGUCUCUCCCUCACACACCGAGCCUCUCACUCACACACGGCGCUCCUCUCUCUCUCUCGCUCGCCACUGGUCUCUCGCUCUCUCUUUCAUCUGUCACCGCCGCGCCUCCCUCCUCACCACCGGCGAUCCUCCGAUCCUCCCUCACCGACGGUCCGACGCUCCUCCGUCGCUGAUGCUGCUGGACAGAUUGUAUAUAUUGCAAUGCUACAGGUGUACAGAUUGUAUAUAUGCUGCUGGACAAAUAUAUUUUAAAAUUGCUGCAGGUUAUUUUGUAUGGCAAUGCUACAGGUUUACAAAUAUAUUUUAAUCCAUAUUAAUUGUCUUCAUUGUCUCAAAUAUAUUUUAAUCUAUGUUUAUAGAUUUUUAUAGAU